GGGGGCGUAGUGGAUUCGACGGGGGUCGAUCGAACAACCGUAGCGAGCCGGGGGGCCGCGUCCCCGUCAGCAACGCGGACGGCACAAUAACUGCCAACAAGAACGAACUCGCUCUGGCUGCGUAAACGACCGGCCAGCCUCUGACGCGAAACCGCCCGCGUUUUGCGCUUAGAGGUCAACCCCAGCGGGCUACGCGGUCGGCCUUCCGCCUGUAGGCCGCCGAAGAGACCCAUCAGGCAGGCCGCAGGAUGAUCCGGCUCAAGGGAGCGCCUGCGGCGACAUCAAACUUGAGCUGCGCUCGGAGAAGCGGUUGUGGCGAGGCCUUCGGACGGGGGUUCGAUUCCCCCCGCCUCCACCA
rnacentral:tmRNA from 1 species